GAGUUUGAUCAUGGCUCAGGAUGAACGCUGGCGGCGUGCUUAACACAUGCAAGUCGAACGAACCUUCGGGUUAGUGGCGGACGGGUGAGUAACGCGUGGGAAUCUGCCCUCAGGAGGGGGAUAACGGUUGGAAACGACCGCUAAUACCCCAUAUGCCGAGAGGUGAAAUGAAUUUCGCCUGAGGAUGAGCCCGCGUCUGAUUAGCUUGUUGGUGAGGUAAUGGCUCACCAAGGCAUCGAUCAGUAGCUGGUCUGAGAGGAUGAUCAGCCACACUGGGACUGAGACACGGCCCAGACUCCUACGGGAGGCAGCAGUGGGGAAUUUUCCGCAAUGGGCGAAAGCCUGACGGAGCAACGCCGCGUGAGGGACGAAGGCCUCUGGGCUGUAAACCUCUUUUCUCAAGGAAGAAGAUAUGACGGUACUUGAGGAAUAAGCCACGGCUAAUUCCGUGCCAGCAGCCGCGGUAAUACGGGAGUGGCAAGCGUUAUCCGGAAUUAUUGGGCGUAAAGCGUCCGCAGGCGGCCCUUCAAGUCUGCUGUUAAAACGUGGAGCUUAACUCCAUCAUGGCAGUGGAAACUGAUUGGCUUGAGUAUGGUAGGGGCAGAGGGAAUUCCCGGUGUAGCGGUGAAAUGCGUAGAUAUCGGGAAGAACACCAGUGGCGAAGGCGCUCUGCUGGGCCAUUACUGACGCUCAUGGACGAAAGCCAGGGGGGCGAAAGGGAUUAGAUACCCCUGUAGUCCUGGCCGUAAACGAUGAACACUAGGUGUCGGGGGAAUCGACCCCUUCGGUGUCGUAGCUAACGCGUUAAGUGUUCCGCCUGGGGAGUACGCACGCAAGUGUGAAACUCAAAGGAAUUGACGGGGGCCCGCACAAGCGGUGGAGUAUGUGGUUUAAUUCGAUGCAACGCGAAGAACCUUACCAGGGCUUGACAUCCUGCGAACCUUUAAGAAAUUAGAGGGUGCCUUCGGGAACGCAGUGACAGGUGGUGCAUGGCUGUCGUCAGCUCGUGUCGUGAGAUGUUGGGUUAAGUCCCGCAACGAGCGCAACCCACGUUUUUAGUUGCCAGCAUUUAGUUGGGCACUCUAGAAAGACCGCCGGUGAUAAACCGGAGGAAGGUGUGGAUGACGUCAAGUCAUCAUGCCCCUUACGUCCUGGGCUACACACGUACUACAAUGCUACGGACAAAGGGCAGCAAACUCGCGAGAGCUAGCAAAUCCCAUAAACCGUGGCUCAGUUCAGAUCGUAGGCUGCAACUCGCCUACGUGAAGUAGGAAUCGCUAGUAAUCGCGGGUCAGCAUACUGCGGUGAAUACGUUCCCGGGCCUUGUACACACCGCCCGUCACACCAUGGAAGUUGGCCACGCCCGAAGUCGUUACUUUAACCCUUGUGGAGAAGGACGCCGAAGGUGGGGCUGAUGACUGGGGUGAAGUCGUAACAAGGUAACC
rnacentral:rRNA from 1 species